ACGUAGGGGGCAAGCGUUAUCCGGAUUUACUGGGUGUAAAGGGAGCGUAGACGGCAGGGCAAGUCUGGAGUGAAAGCCCGGGGCCCAACCCCGGGACUGCUUUGGAAACUGCCAUGCUGGAGUGCUGGAGAGGUAAGCGGAAUUCCUAGUGUAGCGGUGAAAUGCGUAGAUAUUAGGAGGAACACCAGUGGCGAAGGCGGCUUACUGGACAGUAACUGACGUUGAGGCUCGAAAGCGUGGGGAGCAAA
rnacentral:rRNA from 1 species